rnacentral:lncRNA from 1 species
CUUAUUUUUAUUUGCAAGGUGUCUGACCAAUUGCAAACUGAUGUCUGUUAGACAUUAUAAUAAUUCUGCCAAUAAUGUCAUAGUUAUUUAUUUAAGUUAAUUGUUAUCGUAAUGGUCACAUCAACGAUUUUGACUCAUCAACUUUCACACUUAGGUACUUUGAGACAGGACAGUUUUUUUUUGCCCCAUCCCCUUUUUCAAUAUCUGUUAUUUUUCGUUUUCUAUUAGUUUCAAUUUUUUCGCGCUUUUCUGUAUCAC